CUCGCCAGGAGAAUGGACAUCUGCUGUCGGGAAAUCAGAGCCGUGGUAGCCAGCCGUAGCCAACCAGGGUUCACUCGGAGACACACAGGCGCUACCGGAGCAAUGACUAACUUUGCCUCUUAAUGGGGUCGUGACCUCCUCUUUGCUCGGAGCUGUCUGCAAGUCAUUCAAGCAAUUAGGUAAACUCCAGGUUGCUGUCCAUAGAGGACUGCUGCUCUGGAGUCGAAAAACUGUGCGGGAGAGACAAACUUUGAGAAAAGAUGGGUGAACAAUCCCAAGCUUGCGGAAGCAUGCCGUCUUCACAACUCGGAGACAAAUUGCAGGCGCUACGAACCGGAGCAAGGACUAAUCUUGCCUCAUAAUGAGGCGGUGACCUCCUAUUUGCUCGGAGCAAUAUCUGCAAGUCCACACAAUGUUGAUAAAGACGACAUUGUGUCCGCCUGUAAGACAUACGAGACGGUACACAGGAGCUUUAGGUAUACCCAGCCAGAAAACUCAUUGCGGGCGGAAGCUGCAAAGAGUUCAGCUCGGAGUCGAGCGAGAAGAAAGAGGCUGCUGGAAUCGAGACAGAGUGUGCUAGCAGAUGACGAGGUGGAACU